AUUAAGGUGGCAGAUAAGUGUGAAGGAUUUAAGAUUCUUUUAGGAAAAUAAAAAUUAUUUUCUCUUAAUA
rnacentral:tRNA from 1 species